AGUCACGCCCCGGCUUCCGCCCCGCAGCCCCGAGGGGUCCGGGUGCGCUGAAGACCUCUUCGGCUGCUGGGCCAACGCCCCCACCCUUGGUCACCUACUCCUGCCGCCGAGCGGUUCGCGGGAGGUGGCCUCGGGGGUCGUAGCUACUCACCGGCGGGGCGCUCCGAGUCCAUCUGCCCCGUAGCCCGGCAGCCGGGGCGGGAGGGCUGCGAGCCCGGGGCGCGGUCCGCCUGAGGCCCGAGACCCGGGGCCGCCUGCGCUCAGGGCCGCGGUGCCGGCCGCGCGGGAGCCUGGCGGGGACAGCGCGGUCAGUGUUCGGCUCCUCCGCAGUGACUCACCAGCGUCCUGAAGCUUUUGAUCACCAUUGGCUGGGAAGGAAAAACAGAAUCAGCUGUUCCCUGCGAAAGGUAUCAUAUGUUUCUUACAAAGUGGAGGUUUGUGGCAGCCCUGCAUGGAGCAAGUCUAUCAGCACCAUCUUUCUAACAAAACUGCAACAGCCACCCCAACUUUCAAGCACCACCUUGAUCAACAGCCAUCAACAUUGAGGCAAAACCCUCCACCAGCAAAAAGAUUAUGACUCACUGAAGGCUCAGCUGAUGAUUAGCGGUAAAAAAUAUUAACUUUAAUCAUCUCGACCAUUCAGUACUCAUCUAAUAUUCUCUAUAACAAAAUGGGAAAUACACAUAAAGCACUUCUGCUACAUGCUGAAUUAUGAUUGUUGUCUCCAGGAAAAGAACUUGUGGGAACGUUUGAGUUGUAAGCUGAACUAACUAGCUGCUUUUUUCAUGAAAUACCGCUUUUACUGGAAAGAACUGACAGAUAAACUGAGGUAUUCAAACCUAGAUAUUUGGCAGACAUUUUCGUGAAAAUAAAUAUGUUCGUGCCACUUCAAGGAACAUAAUUCUCAGUACUUGUUGCCAAUAAUGUUGGAACUUUCAUGCAAAAAUUCAAAUAAAAAACAAACUUAAAACCAUCAAGAACUUGGUGACUUUAUGUGGAAACCAGUGCUACAAUACUUUAGCUUCCCAAUACUUAAAAACUUUUCUGAUGAGAUUACUAGUGAUAUUAACAAUGUGAUUGAUAUUGAAUAAUGAAAUGUUUUAGCAUUUGGAAGAUCUGUUUAAUUCAGUAAAUCAGUAUUUUCCAAAUGACCAAUGCAUGACAUUUCAACAUCACGCAUAGGAAAAUAGGCAUUCGAGGUACAGUCAAAAAUAAUGAGUUUUAAUGUAACAAGUACAAAAUGUCCAUUGAAGUGGUUUCAAAUUCCAAAUAGUAAUUGGAAAAUCCACCACUCGUGUUUUGGGGUAGUAGUAUCGAAAAAGAAUAACCAAGAUAAUUUGAAAAGGCUAUUAAAAAAUACUUCUCAAUUUUCAAACUGCAUACAGCAGGUGCUCAUUCAUUUCUUUGUAACAUUGAUGAGAAAAAGACUCCCAGCCAGGGGCACUGUCUUUGUGGUGUUUACGUGUUCUCGCCACACCUGCAUAGGUUUUCUCUGGGUGCUGCAGUUCUUGCCACAUCCCAGAGGUGUGCACGUGAGGUGAACUGGUGUGUCUUCACUGUCCCAGUCUGAGUGUGGGUGUGUGAGUGGCCCUGUGAUGGAAUGGCGUCCUGUCCAGGGCUGGUUCCCUCUUUGUGCCCUGAGCUACUGAAACAGGCUUCAGCUACACAUGACCCAGAACUGGAAUAAUUAAGUAAUAAUUAUCUUUUUAUUCAUCUUUCUUAAAUGUAUGUAUAGCUCACAUUUAUUUCAAUGUUUAAUAUUAGAAUACUUUGGCCUUUAGAAGCUUAGUGAUUUUUUUUUCCUUGGCCAGAAGUAUGCUUUAGGAACUUAAUCCUUAUUUUUCAGCCUCUGGUAAAAUUGGUUUUGCUAUACGUUGUUUCACUUAAAAGUCCUAAUUCCCAAGAACGCACUGACAGCAGUGAGGACUUGCUGCGCAUGCGGGAGGCCAGAUUUUCUUAUCUGUGUGAAGCCAGACAUGAAAGAGAUCUGUCA
rnacentral:lncRNA from 1 species